rnacentral:rRNA from 1 species
UCGGGAAUAUUGCACAAUGGGGGAAACCCUGAUGCAGCGACGCCGCGUGAGUGAUGAAGGCCUUCGGGUCGUAAAGCUCUGUUGAACGGGAAGAAACAAAUGACGGUACCGUUUAAGAAAGGAUCGGCUAACUUCGUGCCAGCAGCCGCGGUAAUACGAGGGAUCCUAGCGUUGUUCGGAAUCAUUGGGCGUAAAGAGUAUGUAGGCGGCCUAGUAAGUCAGUUGUGAAAGCCCCGGGCUCAACCCGGGAAGUGCAAUUGAUACUGCUUGGCUUGAAUGUGGAAGAGGGCAGUAGAAUUCCAGGUGUAGUGGUGAAAUACGUAGAUAUCUGGAGGAAUACCGGUGGCGAAGGCGGCUGCCUGGUCCUACAUUGACGCUGAGAUACGAAAGCGUGGGGAGCAAACAGGAUUAGAUACCCUUGUAGUCCCUGAGCGGGCUGGCAAGGCGCAU